rnacentral:rRNA from 1 species
GUCGAGAAUCUUCGGCAAUGGGCGCAAGCCUGACCGAGCGACGCCGCGUGGAGGACGAAGGCCUUCGGGUUGUAAACUCCUGUCGAGGGGGAAGAAGCCGCAAGGUUGACUGAUCCCUGGAGGAAGCACGGGCUAAGUUCGUGCCAGCAGCCGCGGUAAGACGAACCGUGCGAACGUUAUUCGGAAUCACUGGGCUUAAAGCGCGUGUAGGCGGAACGGCACGUCGGUCGCUGAAAGCCCCCGGCUCAACCGGGGAAUGGGCGCCGAUACGACCGUUCUGGAGGAACGUAGGGGGACCUGGAACUUCCGGUGGAGCGGUGAAAUGCGUUGAGAUCGGAAGGAACGCCCGUGGCGAAAGCGAGGUCCUGGACGUUUUCUGACGCUGAGACGCGAAAGCCAGGGGAGCGAACGGGAUUAGAAACCCGAGUAGUCC